rnacentral:rRNA from 1 species
AUUGAACGCUGGCGGCAUGCCUUACACAUGCAAGUCGAACGGCAGCACGGGGCAACCUGGUGGCGAGUGGCGAACGGGUGAGUAAUGCAUCGGAACGUACCUUUCAGUGGGGGAUAACGUAGCGAAAGUUACGCUAAUACCGCAUAUUCUGUGAGCAGGAAAGCAGGGGAUCGCAAGACCUUGCGCUGAUUGAGCGGCCGAUGUCAGAUUAGCUAUGUGGUGAGGUAAAGGCUCACCAAGGCGACGAUCUGUAGCGGGUCUGAGAGGAUGAUCGGCCACACUGGGACUGAGACACGGUCCAGACUCCUACGGGAGGCAGCAGUGGGGAAUUUUGGACAAUGGGGGCAACCCUGAUCCAGCCAUGCCGCGUGAGUGAAGAAGGCCUUCGGGUUGUAAAGCUCUUUCGGCCGGGAAGAAAUCGCACGGGCUAAUACCCUGUGUGGAUGACGGUACCGGAAUAAGAAGCACCGGCUAACUACGUGCCAGCAGCCGCCGUAAGAC